UGUUGAGAGGAUGGUUGGCUUUCUCCUCUUAGAUUUUAGAGGAGCCGAAGGAAAGCUUUACCUUCAACUUCUGAAGAUGUGUUAAAAGUCACUGACAAGAGUCAAAUUAAUAACAGAAAAGGCAUACAAAUUUAAUUGAUCAUAGUUUUACAUAACACAGGAGCCUUCAGAAUGAAGAUCCAAAGAUACAGAGGAAUUGUACAUUUUAAUGCUUAGGGUCGACAAAAUAUGGACAGCCAUGUACAAAUACGAUUGGGCAAAAAGAGAAUGAUCUACUGCCAAUAGAGUUGGGAAACCCAGCAAGGCCUGUCUGUCUAGACUCCUCUUGGCCUCACUGCGCAGCAUUCGUUCCUCCUUGGUGUGUGGCAGGACCCUCUAUGGAAAGAGGGUGUUAUGACCUACAAUUAAAAAAGACGUAAUGCAGUAGUAUCAGUGAACGGGCUGGUGGGGCAGCCCUUCACACAGUCAUUCAAGACUCAGGAUAAUGAACAUUCUGUCAUUCUUAAUAAGGCUUCCAAGGUAAGUGUGGGUCAUCAGCAUUCUGGGCAAUCAGAAGAAGAAACGCAUGCAGGGGAGGAUUUUAUGGGCCAGCUGAGGACAGAUGCACUUGACUUCGUUCACAUUCCACCGAGUCAGUCAUAUGGCUGUAACCAAAUGCAAGUGAAGAAGGGAAAUGUUACCUAGCAGGGUGCUCAGGAAGGAGAGGUGAAGAUGGAUUUGGGGUGAGACUCUGCAUAGGCUCUGCAACAACUAAAUUCAGUUAAAGAUUUUUGUGGUCAAGGCAUAUAGUUUGUACAGAUGUGCCUGUUUUGGGAAUAUAAAUAAUUUGCUAAAGCAUGAAAAAAACUUCUGAAAAAUAUAUAUAGAAUAAGAUUUAAAAUCUUAAUCUACCACUGUGUUUAUCUAGCAUAAAUGAAUUCAAUGAACUCGCAUAAACAAUGUGGACUAAUAAUUGACUAAACAGAAAUUAUGCAUUCUAGACUUUAGAAUCUAAAGAGAUUAUUCACAGUGUAGCACCACAAAACAGGAAGAUUCAGGGCAUUUUACCCUCUUUCAGUAAUUGAGGUCAGGUGAAUACCUGGAACAAUAGCAGCACUGUGGAUACUUAAUCAUCUACGUACUAUUGAACCAAGGAAGAACACUCUGUGAAAUGGAAAUUAAUUGUGUAAUAUCUUUUAAUAUGUUUGCUUAAAAUGAAUGUGCAAAUAUCAUAAGGCUUGAUGGAACAUAUGAUGAUGAAGUCAUCUCAAAUUACAUGGGGAAUUAGAAUGCACAGAAAAUUUACUGAGUAGCAAAGAAAGUGAUUUUCAAAGUGAAUGCUAAAAUUCUUAAAAUGAAAACUGUAAAGCUUAAUUUGCAGACUCUUUGAGAAUCAAAUUAAUUCAAAUGUGUGUGUUUGCUUUAUACCUCACUUUCCAGGAAAGUAGCUGAUGUUUAAGAAUAGCAUAAAUUAAGCUUGAGAGCCAUAUUCACAGUUGAAGUAAAAAAAAACACACACACAUUUUUUACCUCAAGAUGAUUAUUCUUUCCUUUUUAAAAACUCUCAUUAACAGAUUCUGCUUUGUACAUUGACCUGGUUUCCAUUUUAACUUGUAUGCAUUUUCUACUAGAUAAAAGACUUGGAGCUAAAGCAGCUGUCAACCUGGAAGUACCAAUGGACACUGACAAAACAAUAAACAAAUCUCCAACAAAAGCCUGUUCUCUCUAGCCAAAAAUCCAAGACAGUCUUGAGAAGACUAGUAAGACAGAAAACUUUUAGACAAUAACAGCUCUACUCCAGCCAGCCACAACAACAAUAACAAAAAAACUGUGGCUCUACCCCACCCAUGGCAAAAGCCAAGUGGGGAAGCCAAGCUUUCCACUCAUGCCUGACUGUGACAAGGCACUCACCCUUCCUUCCAGGGUAACGUCUGGGAAAGCUGAGUAAGGAAUUGGUAGUUUCAUUCUCACUGGGUGGUAAGGAGUCCACCUUACUGUUAGCAGAGUCCACAUGACUUUAGUAGUGUUGGUAGUUGUGGUGGUAUUAUUAGUAGAGGCCAUUUAGGGAGCCAUGACAAGGCACUCAUAUCCAUCGCAGUCAGUGAGUUACCAGCAGACACCUCGUGUGGAGUUGGAAGUCCCAACCCUAGCAGUUGGAGACAGACUCCCUGCUACAACUUGAGAGUCAACAGAGGCCAAAUAAGGAACCUGGAGACCUGGGCAUUUAUCCCACAGAAACGGAACUUAUACCCACCCAAAAGGUUACCCAAAAAUAUGUGUAGUAGUUUUAAUUAUAGUAGUCAGUAACUGGAAACAAUCCAGAUGUCCUUCAAAAAGUGAAUGGUUAAGCAAACUGUGGUACUUCCAUUUCUUGGGAAAUUACUCAGUAAUUUAAAAAAAAUUGUUAAUGCAACAACCUAGAUGACUAUUCAGAGAUUUGUGCUGAGUGAAAAAAGCAAUCCCAAAAGGUUGUAUCUUGUAAUUCCAUUUAUGUAUUUUUCCUGAAAUGACAAAACUGCAGAAAUGUAGAACAAAUUAGUGGCUGCCAGGUGUUAAGGAGAAGGUGAAGAUAAGAGAAAAAUGUGUGCAGCUAUAAAAGUGCAACAUGAGGGAUCCUUGUGGUAGUGAAACUAUUCGGUAUCUUGCUUAUAUCAAUGUCAGCAUGUUACUUGUGAUUUUGUGGUGUUUGAUUUUUUUGGCGUUGUUAUAGUUUUUCCAUUGGUGGAUAUUGGGUGAAUAGCCCAUGAGAUAUAUCUGUAUUAUUUCUUCCAACUGCAUGUGAAUC
rnacentral:lncRNA from 10 species